GCUUUCGUGGUGUAACGGUAUCACGCUUGGCACGUAUUCAAGAGGUCCAGGUUCGAGUCCCGCCGAGGACA
rnacentral:tRNA from 1 species